GAUGAACGCUGGCGGUAUGCUUAACACAUGCAAGUCGAACGGAGUGCUUCGGCACUCAGUGGCGGACGGGUGAGUAACGCGUGAGAAUCUGGCUUCGGGUUCGGGACAACAGUGGGAAACUGCUGCUAAUACCGGAUGUGCCUAAGGGUAAAAGAUUAAUUGCCCGAAGAUGAGCUCGCGUCCGAUUGGCUAGUUGGUGUGGUAAGAGCGCACCAAGGCGUCGAUCGGUAGCUGGUCUGAGAGGACGAUCAGCCACACUGGGACUGAGACACGGCCCAGACUCCUACGGGAGGCAGCAGUGGGGAAUUUUCCGCAAUGGGCGAAAGCCUGACGGAGCAAUACCGCGUGAGGGAGGAAGGCUCUUGGGUUGUAAACCUCUUUUCUCAGGGAAGAAAAAAAUGACGGUACCUGAGGAAUCAGCAUCGGCUAACUCCGUGCCAGCAGCCGCAGUAAUAC
rnacentral:rRNA from 1 species